UGCAGAGCAAGAACAGACUGAGUUGAGCAUUCUUAAUGACUUUAUUACAAGUGGCUCUACACCGCAAUCUGCUCUCCUCUUCUGAGAGUUGUGGCUGGAACGCAGCUGUCCAGCCUGGGACAGCAUUCCUCAGUCACCCAGGAAGCCAGCACUGGGAAAUCAACAGGAGGAUGGCUGACAAGAAGCAUGAGGUGGCUGGCUAGAGGGAGGAGGCAAGUUUAAGGAGGAUGGGGCAUUUGCAUUUGAAGUUCAUCAGUCAACACUGUUGUAACAACGUCUGCUUCCCCAUGCCACCAUAUGACUUUGGGGCUUAGAUACUGAAUACUGGGAUAACCAGGAACCUCUGCAGCACCCAGGGAGGCGGUACAACUGGAGCCGGCAGAGCACGCAGGAGACAAGGAUAACACAGGGGAUAUGUUGAGCGGCAGAGCCGGGAAGCAAUCAGAAGGUUCUGAAAGGGAAGGUGAGGAGGGGCCAAGACGAGUUUGGCCUCUGUGACCAUACAGGCCAGGCUCAGCCCUGAGACGGGGUAGAAACUCCUCUUCUGCAAGACAGUAGCUACUCAGCCCAGUGCCUUUGAGGGGACUACAAGCAUCUUUAUCAGACAACAGACUGCUGGGCAGCCUGAAAGCACAGGCCAGAUCUUCAAGUUAUAUUUUGUUAAGCAGCUCCCCUCUAGCCACACACUUCCAGAAAUGGCCUCUUCCCAAACCAAUCUGCCUCCCACCUAGGAUUUCAGCACUGGCUUGGCCUCUUUAGGAGGCUCAGCUAGCAUCCGCAAGUCCUCAUGGUUCGGCUACAAGCAGUACAUCCAGCCUAAUUGCCUGUCAUGAUUUAAGGCCACUCCCCACUCUCAGUGACACAGAGAAAAAAGGGAAGCAAUCGCCAGUCCUUUUCAUAAGUACAUCCUGGAUUGGGAAGAAGACAAAUGAGAUGGGGAGAAGGGGAACAGGGUGAAGGGACAGGAGGCACCUCUAUGACCCUAGGGACCCUGUGCCUGGGGUUCGCACUCCUGAAUAUUUCAUACCUUUCAGUGGGGGCUGGAUUUAGUCCCUGGUUUCUAACAAAUAGAUGAGCACAGCAGUAAGGGGAUGUCAGGUUUAAGACUGAGUGAUAAAUGAUUUUCGUUUCCACCGUGGGUACUCUUGCUGUCUCUUGAAUUCUACCUGCCCCCUACCAAGUCAAGCCCUCCAUUGAGAAGGC
rnacentral:lncRNA from 13 species